GGAUUCGAGAUGUUGAAGGAGACCUGAUAAAUGUCAUGGAAAGAGUAGCUGAGAGUAAGAUCCUGAUGAGAAAUGCUAGCAACUAGGGGUCAAGAGACAACAUACGGUUUGCAUAUGUGCAUAUAGAUAAUUACAGAAACAAGGACCAUAAAAUUGUUGAAAUAAGUGCUUAUUUGCCAUUGCAUAUACAUUUCAUCAACAAAAUUAGCAUACACCAAUUGAAGUAAAAUUCCAAACAUUCUUUUCUUUCCUUCUAGGUGAUUAUCUAGGCAGAGGAUAGAUGCAAUGAAAGAAACUCCAAACACUCAGCUGAGUGAACGACAUUGUACAUAUGCUAUGAAGGUCUUAAAGCUUACAGUGACUGAACUACAACUACAACACAACAUAGCAAGAAACUCCAAAAACAUGAGAUGAACAUCAGCUCAAACCACCUGGCAAACCAAAAAUCCAUCCUCUAUUACUGAAACAACAAGUCCAACCAGAUUAUGUCGAUUGCAAAAUGAAUCACCAAAAGAACAUGCAGAGACAUUUUGAGAGAUAUGCACAAACAUGCCUGCAGAGGCAUUCAUGUAUGACCUGAUUAUGCUGGUUACAAAAUGGAUUCAAAAUGAAGAUGCAAACAUCUACCAUCAAUCAAGAAAAGUGAUGAAACUAAUCAAUCAAAUUGCAAAGUUCAGGAAAACAAAAGCAAAAUCAAACCAUGCAAUGAAGAAGAUCUUGC
rnacentral:misc_RNA from 1 species